UACGUAGGGGGCAAGCGUUGUCCGGAUUUAUUGGGCGUAAAGAGCUCGUAGGCGGUUUGGUAAGUCUGGUGUGAAAUCUCCACGCUCAACGUGGAGGGGCCACCCGAUACUGCCAUGACUGGAGUCCGGUGGAGGAGUGUGGAAUUCCCGGUGUAGCGGUGAAAUGCGCAGAUAUCGGGAGGAACACCCGUAGCGAAGGCGGCACUCUGGGCCGGUACUGACGCUGAGGAGCGAAAGCGUGGGGAGCAAACAGG
rnacentral:rRNA from 1 species